rnacentral:rRNA from 1 species
GAUCAUGGCUCAGGAUGAACGCUGGCGGCGUGCCUAACACAUGCAAGUCGAGCGGAGACAGUGAGUAGCUUGCUACGAGCUGUUUUAGCGGCGGACGGGUGAGUAACGCGUGAGCAACCUUUCCCAGACAGGGGAAUAACACACCGAAAGGUGUACUAAUACCGCAUAAGACCACGGGAUCACAUGGUUCUGGGGUAAAAGAAUUAUCGGUUUGGGGUGGGCUCGCGUCCGAUUAGGUAGUUGGUGAGGUAACCGG